CUUCGGGCCUCUUGCCAUCAGAUGUGCCCAGAUGGGAUUAGCUAGUUGGUGAGGUAACGGCUCACCAAGGCGACGAUCCCUAGCUGGUCUGAGAGGAUGACCAGCCACACUGGAACUGAGACACGGUCCAGACUCCUACGGGAGGCAGCAGUGGGGAAUAUUGCACAAUGGGCGCAAGCCUGAUGCAGCCAUGCCGCGUGUAUGAAGAAGGCCUUCGGGUUGUAAAGUACUUUCAGCGGGGAGGAAGGUGUUGUGGUUAAUAACCGCAGCAAUUGACGUUACCCGCAGAAGAAGCACCGGCUAACUCCGUGCCAGCAGCCGCGGUAAUACGGAGGGUGCAAGCGUUAAUCGGAAUUACUGGGCGUAAAGCGCACGCAGGCGGUCUGUCAAGUCGGAUGUGAAAUCCCCGGGCUCAACCUGGGAACUGCAUUCGAAACUGGCAGGCUUGAGUCUUGUAGAGGGGGGUAGAAUUCCAGGUGUAGCGGUGAAAUGCGUAGAGAUCUGGAGGAAUACCGGUGGCGAAGGCGGCCCCCUGGACAAAGACUGACGCUCAGGUGCGAAAGCGUGGGGAGCAAACAGGAUUAGAUACCCUGGUAGUCCACGCCGUAAACGAUGUCUACUUGGAGGUUGUGCCCUUGAGGCGUGGCUUCCGGAGCUAACGCGUUAAGUAGACCGCCUGGGGAGUACGGCCGCAAGGUUAAAACUCAAAUGAAUUGACGGGGGCCCGCACAAGCGGUGGAGCAUGUGGUUUAAUUCGAUGCAACGCGAAGAACCUUACCUGGUCUUGACAUCCACGGAAGUUUUCAGAGAUGAGAAUGUGCCUUCGGGAACCGUGAGACAGGUGCUGCAUGGCUGUCGUCAGCUCGUGUUGUGAAAUGUUGGGUUAAGUCCCGCAACGAGCGCAACCCUUAUCCUUUGUUGCCAGCGGUCCGGCCGGGAACUCAAAGGAGACUGCCAGUGAUAAACUGGAGGAAGGUGGGGAUGACGUCAAGUCAUCAUGGCCCUUACGACCAGGGCUACACACGUGCUACAAUGGCGCAUACAAAGAGAAGCGACCUCGCGAGAGCAAGCGGACCUCAUAAAGUGCGUCGUAGUCCGGAUUGGAGUCUGCAACUCGACUCCAUGAAGUCGGAAUCGCUAGUAAUCGUGGAUCAGAAUGCCACGGUGAAUACGUUCCCGGGCCUUGUACACACCGCCCGUCACACCAUGGGAGUGGGUUGCAAAAGAAGUAGGUAGCUUAACCUUCGGGAGGGCGCUUACCACUUUGUGAUUCAUGACUGGGGUGAAGUCGUAACAAGGUAACCGUAGGGGAACCUGCGGUUGGAUCACCUCCUUACCUUAAAGAAGC
rnacentral:rRNA from 1 species